rnacentral:rRNA from 1 species
CUUGCGAGAUGGGAAAACAGAGAAGGUGAGCAUCAUCUGGUCCGGGUACUCCUCCCUGAUCCUGGAACUCAGUUGCGUGCCCAUGCCCGAACCGGUGCCCCCGCCGAUGGAGUGGCACACCUGGAAGCUACCUUGGAGGCAGUCGCAGUUCUCGGCCUCCUUGUGGACGACGUUGAGGAUGGAGCUCAUCUCGGUGUAGUGGCCCUUGGCCCACUUGUUUCCGGCGCCGGACUGGCCGAAGACAAAGUUGUCGGGGCAGAAGAUCUGUCUAUAGGGCCCAAUGCGCACGGAGUCCAUGGUGUCGGGCUGGUAGUGGAUGACGACGGAGUCAGG